UCUCUGCUGCUGGACCAGCCAAAGGAAGGCAUGCCGAACUUGGGCCUCUUGAAUUUGCCAUCCUUGGUCUUGGCAGCCUCCUUCUCUGGGACUUUGGCCUCCCCUUCAAGGCUCAUGGUGGCCUCAGGCGCCUGCAGGUCGACGCUAGCCUGUGGAAGAGUGACGUCGACGGAGGGCAGACUGAUGUCCACCUCUGGAGCUUUGAUAUUUGGUGGUGUCAUUUCUAAAAGUUCAUCUUUCGAUUUUUCAUUGAACUCCAUUUUCUC